AGUGACACGAUCUGUAUUUGGGAUUAUGAUAAACUCAAGUGCGUGUGAGGUGAGAAAUAUAUGCAUUGUUUGGAAAUCUUCGCCUGCAGAAGCCUGGGGGAUACGUGACUUUGUUGAGGCCUGAAGCGUUCAAACUUCUCUCUUUGCAAUUGGCUGGCUCCGUUUGCUGACAUCUGGAGUCCAGCCUCGUCAAUUCUACGUCAAAAACGGCUGAAAGAAAAAAAAAAUCAGAGCAAAUGAAAACCGGAUUGAAGCGUACAAAAAUAAGUGGGAAGGAAAACCUGCGAGUGCUCGUUGCAUUGUUGAGGGGAAAAGAGGGGGGGAAAUAUAGACCACCCACAAGGGAGACGAAAGGGCAAUUUGGGAGAUGUGGAAGGUUACCAUAGCAACAAAGGUAUGAGACAAGAAAAUAAAGGCCUAAAAUAAAUCCAUAAUAUCUUUACUCUACCCAAAUUGCAGGAAUUGCCUGUUCCAAAGCCAUUCUCUCUCAAAAAGCCAAAGCAAAUCUAACCUAUCACACACGUAAGGCAUCAAAUGAAAUCCUCAUUCAGUUUCAUUCCAGGCUUUUAUUUCCUCCUGAUGGGCGAGAUGAAGAUGAGAGGAGGGGGGAGAAAAAAAGAAAAAACUUGCAGCUGAGAGGUGCAGUAAGAUCUGUGUCUAGAUUGACUCAUCUAUUCUCUCAAUUAUUCAGUUUGGUUAGAAAAUGCCUGAGCAGACGUGCUCUGUGCGUUUUCAGCAGGUCUCCAGGUAGCACCGCGCCGCCGCAGCCACUGGAGGAGCACAGAGAGAGCGGUCCAGACCUCCGCCGGGACCCAUUUAAAAGCCCGACGAUGCCCCAGACCAGGGCUCUCCUGAGACGCGGGGAAGACGCUGCACUUAAGAUCUGUCAACUCAUCAUGCCCAACGCCUGAAGUGACCUGAGCAGAAAAGCCACUUGGGGGCGCUCAAAGAGUAUUAGUGGCAUCAUUAAGAUUUCCAUUCUUACAGUGAGAAAUGUACAAGUCUACACCUUCAUCCCAGCAAACAAGCCAUAAGUGUUUCCAAUGACCCUACAGGCCGACUGGAGCCCUACCUUUACCACCACCACCUGCACAGUCACGUGUUCAGGGAGUCUGA